UACGUAGGGGGCAAGCGUUGUCCGGAUUUAUUGGGCGUAAAGAGCGUGUAGGCGGCCACACAGGUCUGCUGUGAAAACUCGAGGCUCAACCUCGAGCUGUCGGUGGAAACCGUGUGGCUAGAGUCCGGAAGAGGAGAGUGGAAUUCCCGGUGUAGCGGUGAAAUGCGCAGAUAUCGAGAGGAACACCAGUGGCGAAGGCGAGUCCCUGGACAACACCUGACACUGAGGCACGAAAGCCGGGGGAGCAAACAGG
rnacentral:rRNA from 1 species